CCGCUGUUGUCGCCGAAAAUCGCCACUGGAACUGGUGUCGUUUGGUAAGCUUUAACUUGUCUUCAGUUUCCUUCUCCAUUAAAGUUCAUCUUUACCAUGAGAGUUGUGAUGUGGUUGUGUGCUAGGAGUUGCUGCAAGUUGCCGCUACCGGAGAAGCUGUUGUGGUCACCGGAACCAUCACCGGAACUUCUGCAGUUUGAUUCAGUCUUUAAUCCUUUCUCACGGGUCAAGCUCCGGUUAUUGCGGGUCACGAUUAAAGCUGCCGCCGAACCGGUUCGGAGACCGCCGCUGUUU